AGCUUGCUCCCAGGCGUCGAGCGGCGGACGGGUGAGUAAUACAUAGGAAUCUGCCCAGUAGUGGGGGAUAGCCCGGGGAAACCCGGAUUAAUACCGCAUACGCCCUUUGGGGGAAAGCAGGGGAUCUUCGGACCUUGCGCUAUUGGAUGAGCCUAUGUCGGAUUAGCUAGUUGGUGGGGUAAGAGCCUACCAAGGCGACGAUCCGUAGCUGGUCUGAGAGGAUGAUCAGCCACAUCGGGACUGAGACACGGCCCGAACUCCUACGGGAGGCAGCAGUGGGGAAUAUUGGACAAUGGGGGCAACCCUGAUCCAGCCAUGCCGCGUGUGUGAAGAAGGCUUUCGGGUUGUAAAGCACUUUCAGUGAGGAGGAAAACCUUACGACUAAUACUCGUGAGGCUUGACGUUACUCACAGAAGAAGCACCGGCUAACUCCGUGCCAGCAGCCGCGGUAAUACGGAGGGUGCAAGCGUUAAUCGGAAUUACUGGGCGUAAAGCGCGCGUAGGUGGUUUGAUAAGCGAGAUGUGAAAGCCCCGGGCUCAACCUGGGAACGGCAUUUCGAACUGUCAGG
rnacentral:rRNA from 1 species